GUUUUACAAUCGUAAGAAGAAAUUUUUACGGAUCUGGAUUUUCCAAAGUUCUUUUUGGUAAUCUAAAAUUUAUCUUAACAAUAGGUGAUAUUGGAAAUGUUUAUCUUUAAUUCAUUAACAAUUGUUACCAAUUUGUUACGUCGUGUUAUUUUCCUAAUUUCUUAAUUAGGUAAGGUAAUACAAUUUAUCUUUUGAA
rnacentral:misc_RNA from 1 species